rnacentral:rRNA from 1 species
AUUGAACGCUGGCGGAAUGCUUUACACAUGCAAGUCGAGCGGCAGCACGAGGGCAACCCUGGUGGCGAGCGGCGAACGGGUGAGUAAUACAUCGGAACAUGCCCAGUCGUGGGGGAUAACACUUCGAAAGAAGUGCUAAUACCGCAUACGUCCUGAGGGAGAAAGCGGGGGAUCUUCGGACCUCGCGCGAUUGGAGUGGCCGAUGUCAGAUUAGCUAGUUGGUGGGGUAAAGGCCUACCAAGGCAACGAUCUGUAGCUGGUCUGAGAGGAUGAGCAGCCACACUGGGCCGGAGACACGGGCCAGACUCCUACGGGAGGCAGCAGUGGGGAAUUUUGGACAAUGGGGGCAAGCCUGAUCCGGCCAGGCCGCGUGCAGGAUGAAGGCGUUCGGGUUGUAAACUGCUUUUGUACGGAACGAAAAGACUCUGGUUAAUACCUGGGGUCCAUGACGGUACCGUAAGAAUAAGCACCGGCUAACUACGUGCCAGCCGCCGCAGUAAGAC